rnacentral:lncRNA from 1 species
UGCAGAUUGUUACAGCAUGGGGCAUCACUUUUGGGGUCUGCUGGUGCAGAAUUUGAAGUUCAAGAUGAAAAAUCAGGUGAAGUGGAUCCUAAAGAGAGGAUAGCACGCCAACGGAAAUUAUUACAGAAGAAACUUGGACUUAAUAUGGGAGAAGCAAUUGGAAUGAGUACUGAAGAACUCUUCAACGAUGAAGACUUGGAUUAUACUCCAACUUCAGCAGCCCUUGUAAACAAACAAUCUGUAGACUCUCCAAGCAGCUGAAUUGAUUGAUUCAGAAUUCCGAGCAGGAAUGAGUAAUAGACAGAAGAACAAAGCUAAAAGAAUGGCCAAGCUAUUUGCAAAACAGAGAUCCAGGGAUGCAGUGGAAACAAAUGAGAAGAG